UCUAAGGAUUGUGGGAAAUGUAGUU
rnacentral:piRNA from 1 species